rnacentral:rRNA from 1 species
CUAGCUACAGGCUUAACACAUGCAAGUCGAAGGGCAUUGGGCCCGGAAGUUCGCUUCCGGGUGCCGGCGACUGGCGCACGGGUGAGUAACACGUAUGCAACCUGCCCCCGGCCGGGGGACAAGCGGGAGAAAUCCCGUCUAAUACCGCAUAACGCCCCUGGGGGACAUCCUCCUGGGGCCAAAGGAAAGCGAUUUCCGGCCGGGGAUGGGCAUGCGGCGCAUUAGGUAGACGGCGGGGCGACGGCCCACCGUGCCGACGAUGCGUAGGGGUUCUGAGAGGAAGGCCCCCCACACUGGUACUGAGACACGGACCAGACUCCUACGGGAGGCAGCAGUGAGGAAUAUUGGUCAAUGGGCGAGAGCCUGAACCAGCCAAGUAGCGUGGAGGAAGACGGCCCUACGGGUUGUAAACUCCUUUAGCCGGGGAGCAAGGCUCCGCACGGGUGCGGAGCCGGAGAGUACCCGGAGAAUAAGCAUCGGCUAACUCCGUGCCAGCAGCCGCGGUAAUACGGAGGAUGCGAGCGUUAUCCGGAUUCAUUGGGUUUAAAGGGUGCGUAGGCGGGCCCACAGGCCGUCGGUAAAAUCGCGGGGCUCAACCCCGCGGGGCCGACGGAACCGGGGGCCUUGAGUGGACGAGAGGCAUGCGGAAUGCGCAGUGUAGCGGUGAAAUGCAUAGAUAUCGCGCAGAACGCCGAUUGCGAAGGCAGCAUGCCGGCGUCCUACUGACGCUGAAGCACAAAAGCGUGGGGAUCGAACAGGAUUAGAUACCCUGGUAGUCCACGCGGUAAACGAUGAACACUAGGUGUCCGGGGCGAAUGAGUCCUGGGUGCCACAGCGAAAGCGUUAAGUGUUCCACCUGGGGAGUACGCCGGCAACGGUGAAACUCAAAGGAAUUGACGGGGGCCCGCACAAGCGGAGGAACAUGUGGUUUAAUUCGAUGAUACGCGAGGAACCUUACCCGGGCUCAAACGCGGCAGGGAGCGCAAUUGAAAGGAGGCGCGCCCGCAAGGGCCUGUCGCGAGGUGCUGCAUGGUUGUCGUCAGCUCGUGCCGUGAGGUGUCGGCUUAAGUGCCAUAACGAGCGCAACCCCCAUCGGCAGUUGCCAGCAGGUAAAGCUGGGGACUCUGCCGAGACUGCCGGCGCAAGCUGCGAGGAAGGCGGGGAUGACGUCAAAUCAGCACGGCCCUUACGUCCGGGGCGACACACGUGUUACAAUGGCGUCCACAGCGGGAAGCCACCCGGCGACGGGGAGCGGAACCCCAAAGGGCGCCACAGUUCGGAUCGGAGUCUGCAACCCGACUCCGUGAAGCUGGAUUCGCUAGUAAUCGCGCAUCAGCCACGGCGCGGUGAAUACGUUCCCGGGC